GUUAAUAGGGUUAAUUUCUUUGGAGGAAAAGCAAGAACGGAAGGAGAAAAAAAAGGCGAGAACUAUGGCUGCAUCAACGAGCUUUAGGUACCACGCCGGUACGUUUAUAUUUAUGUUGGAUCAGGUACCAUGCCGAAAUUAUUCUAGAGGCUCAUACCUGAUCUCAUCUCUAGAGUUCGAUAGCAGAUCUUGAUCCAAGGGUUGGCACUCCAUCUCCAGGCUGGCAUGGGUCAUCUUA